UACGUAGGGUGCGAGCGUUGUCCGGAAUUAUUGGGCGUAAAGAGCUCGUAGGCGGUGUGUCACGUCGGCCGUGAAAACCUGCAGCUUAACUGUGGGCGUGCGGUCGAUACGGGCAUCACUGGAGUUCGGCAGGGGAGACUGGAAUUCCUGGUGUAGCGGUGAAAUGCGCAGAUAUCAGGAGGAACACCCGUGGCGAAGGCGGCUCUCUGGAACGGUACUGACGCUGAGACGCGAAAGCGUGGGGAGCGAACAGG
rnacentral:rRNA from 1 species